AUACGGAGGGGACAAGCGUUAUUCGGAAUCACUGGGCGUAAAGGACGCGUAGGCGGGUUAUUAAGUCGGGUGUGAAAUCCAAUGGCUCAACCAUUGAACUGCAUUCGAAACUGAUAACCUAGAGUAUGGAAGGGGCAGGUGGAGUUAGUGGUGUAGGGGUAAAAUCCGUAGAUAUCACUAGGAAUACCGAAAGCGAAGGCGACCUGCUGGGACAUUACUGACGCUGAGGCGUGAAAGCGUGGGGAGCAAACAGGAUUAGAUACCCGAGUAGUCC
rnacentral:rRNA from 1 species